AUGUGCUUUGAUGAAAGACCCAUGUGGCUAGCAACAGCUCUUACAUUUUGUCCCUGGGUCCUGGCCUGGGUAGGAUUCCUGGGUGUUCUGUUGGCUCAUUUGGGGCCAUCAAUCCACUUUGGACCACUCACUGUCUGCUCUGCCUCCACCAAUGAGAACGCCUUCCAAGGAACAGUGAGAGCCAAAGCCAAGAGAAGCCUUGUUCCCUCAACAGAAUUUUCAGCCCCGACUCCUCCUUACCCUGGUCCAGGUGGAGGAGGUUGAGGUAGCGGAAGCAACUUGCAGGGUAACCCGGGUGGGGGCGGACCACGGCCGCCCUCUCCUUGAGAUGGAUACCGGAGUCCGCACCACAGGCCUCCGAAGGGCCCGGUCUAGGCCCCUACGGGAGCAGCCACUCUGCGACACGACUGCAGCUUCCCGGGGGCCUGGUUCGGGUCUCCGUACCCUGGCGGCUACCCUGGCUCCUACUCCAGGUCCCCCUCAGGGUCCCAGCAGCAAUUCGGCGACUCCUCAGGGCAGCAGCAGACCCACCCCCAGCGUUCACCAAUGAAAUCCGCAGCAUUUGGAUCCCGGCGUAUUAGAGAAAACAGAAUGCCUAAUGAGUUGGAAAAUUAUUUCAAGCCGUCAAUGCUUGAAGAUCCUUGGGCAGGCCUAGAACCACUAUCUGUAGUUUAGAUAAGCCAACAAUACAGCAAUACUCAAACAUUCACAGGCAAAAAAGGAAGAUACUUUUGUUAACUUUUCUAAAUUCAGUUGGAAGCUUCGUGUGUUAGGAACAUCGUGGACAAAAUUUUAACUUGUGUUGAUAUAAAUUUACCCAAAGAUGAUGACUUUGAUUGGAUAAUUAGUAAGGUCUCUUUGUUAUUUUUCAUCAUAUCGGGUACCGUUCUGUUGAUAUUAGAGAAAAAAAGUAGGAUAAUUUGCAACAUUUAGCCUUGGAAGUACCUACCACAUUUUAGAGAUUUACAGUUUCCAUAUAUUUAACAUUCCUGGUUAUAUAAUUGACAUUUGUCUUUUAAUGUUUUUUCAAUGUUUUAAAAUAAAACAUUUUGUCUUCUA